AUUCUCUGCUUCAGGACUCUGGAGCUGACAGCCAGCGGGGCCCUGACAGGGUUCCAGCAACAGGCGACAGGGGACACCCUGCAGGGUUCCAGCAACAGUGUGUAAGACGGGCAGAGGCCUGGGAGGUGUCCCCGACCAGCAAACAGUGGGAAAAAGGCGCAAGAUGGAGAAGUUUCACCCGGGACACCAGCUGCUUCGGAACCCAGCUCGCGUGCUGCCAAGCCCCACACCUUGUCCCUGCCCCGUUGCUGGCUCCUGACUCUGGCACCCCACAGCCACCUGCAACAGGGACUGCUGCAGAGACUUCCCCAAAGAUCCCGAGCACAAGAGAAGGAAGGAGGGUCCCUGGUUCUGGUUCUCCCCGAUUGCAGCCAGAGAGGGAUGUUUGCUGCAAUCCAUUCUGCCUGCAUAGAUUUCACAACACUGGUCCCCUUCCAGCAACAUUUCCACUCUGGUGAGUCGUUUCCUCUUAGCAAAGGCUGAAUUAUGCAGUGUGUGAUUCUGCAAUCAAUGACAAUUAAUUACAUUGUGCCAAUGGAGGGGAGUCACACCAGGUGCUUUAUAAUGUAAAUUGCGCGCCUGAGACGACAGACUUGACCAAUAAGAGCAAGUGGUUACCAUGAUGGCACUCAGAAGCUAACAUUCCAGAUCACAUGAACA